ACCAGUUUAAGUUCUCAUCCCAAGUUGCCAGUCCAAAUGCUGGAGAUGCAGAGCCUGAAAAAAGGGGCAGAGCUACCACUGAAGAUGAUUUGCAGUUUUUGAUAUAUCAACACAGCUUUGCAACAAAAGCUGUCUUGCAUGAAUUUUAAGCAUAAAGCUUCGGGAAAGCAACACUUCUGCGUAGUGAAUGACAGCUAAAUUUGGGUUUGCCAUAAGUGAAAAGAGCAAAGUCUUGGCAAGUGUCCUGAGAUGACUCCAUCUCCACUGCUUCAUAAAUAUGUCAGUUUACAUUCAGGAUUUUUUUGUGGAACUUUGAUGUACAUCAACAGCAGAAGGUAAUCUUGUGCAACUAGCAAUGGGACAGUGUUGCAUGAUAUGAAAACAUUAUUAUCAUCUCGGCGACAGACUUCAUUACACGUCAUCAUGACUCUUAGAACAAAUUAUGCAUAUUUUAUGUUGUCCAGG